CUAAACAAUUAUUUUUGACCCUUUCGUUGUAGUUGUCUGGCAUUUUAACAGUUUGUCACGUCUGUAAGUUACACAACGUCGUUUGAAAACUUUUGUUUCCAGCCAAUGUUAUGUGUGCAUGUAUUAAAGCGUUUUUCAUUCAAUGUUACAGGAAGCUGUAAGGCGCCUUCACAAUUCGGAAAACAACCCACAUAAAUAUGAUCCACAAACCGGAAUAAGUUCGCCUCGUAACCAAGCAGUCAUGACUUAUCUGCUAGAGGAAUUGAAAACAACUUUUGCAGAUGCAGACCCUGAGUGUAUACAAGCGUGUUGCAAGACAUACUUUGAGACACUUCGGAGAAAGUACAAUUUGUCUCAGCCAGAAAAGUCCCAGCUAAGAGAUGCCAUUAAAACAGGAGCUAAAAACCGACAAAGGAAAAGACGG